GUGAGUAACACGUAAGCGACCUGCCCUUGAGUGGGGGAUAACCCCGAGAAAUUGGGGCUAAUACCGCAUAAAGUGUUUGGGGUAAGGCCCGGACACCAAAGUCUUCGGGUGCUUGAGGAGGGGCUUGCGGCCUAUCAGGUAGUUGGUGACGGUAACGGCCCACCAAGCCGAUGACGGGUAGCUGGUUUGAGAGGAUGAUCAGCCACAUUGGGACUGAGACACGGCCCAGACUCCUACGGGAGGCAGCAGCAGGGAAUAUUGCGCAAUGGGCGAAGGCCUGACGCAGCAACGCCGCGUGGGUGAAGAAGGCCUUCGGGUCGUAAAGCCCUUUUCUUGGGGAAGAAGCACUGACGGUACCCAGGGAAUAAGCCUCGGCUAAUCACGUGCCAGCAGCCGCGGUGAUACGUGAGAGGCGAGCGUUAUCCGGAUUUACUGGGCGUAAAGGGCGUGUAGGCGGUUGGGCAAGUCCUUUGUGAAAUCUCCUGGCUUAAUCGGGAGGGGUCAAAGGAAACUACCUGACUUGAGGGUAGCAGGGGGAGAUGGAAUUCUCGGUGGAGCGGUGAAAUGCGUAGAUAUCGAGAGGAACACCAGUGGCGAAGGCGAUCUCCUGGGCUAUACCUGACGCUGAGGCGCGAAAGCGUGGGGAGCAAACAGGAUUAGAUACCCU
rnacentral:rRNA from 1 species